GACAGAGGUGCCGAGCGUUAGGCGGAAUCACUGGGCUUAAAGCGUGUGUAGGCGGGUGGCUAAGUACCUUGUGAAAUCCCACGGCUCAACCGUGGAACUGCUCGGUAUACUGGGUGCCCUGAGCCAACUAGGGGCGACCGGAACAAACGGUGGAGCGGUGAAAUGCGUAGAUAUCGUUUGGAACGCCGAUGGUGAAAACAGGUCGCUGGGGUUGUGCUGACGCUGAGACACGAAAGCCAGGGGAGCGAACGGG
rnacentral:rRNA from 1 species